ensembl:lncRNA mucin-5AC-like
GUCUGGGAACAAACAUCAUUGUAUGCUGUUUCAUUCUUGAAUGCGCAGCAAAUGCUGUGAUCCUGAUGUCAUUAGAUUUUGUCUAUAAAUAAGAUGACAUCACUUGGGCAGUACGUAUUAUUUCUGCAUUAUUUCAUCAUGUAUUUAAAUUGAUGAAAACGACAAUAGUGAUUAAUGAAUUAUACUUCACUGAAUUAUACUUCACUGCCAUAGAAUAUUAUAUGUGCAGAAUAUGAUAUUGUUGGUGAACUGUAAAGAUGUCUUUUCAAAAUCUCUACAUACUUCAUGCUAUGAAUGGUACUACCGAAAGCUACCAUUGACUUUGCCAACUCCAUACCAUGAUAGUCUGGGUAUGAUCCACUCUGUCUGUCACGAUUAAGUACACCAGGAGACGCACCUCGCACCAAUCUGCAUGACAGCGGAACCUGGUUAUAAGGAACUUUGGAGCAGCUGAUCGGGGCUGCAACAUUUUUAUGUGGACCGGGCACAUCAGUUCUGGCAAUCGGCACACGCCUGCGGAUAAUUUGAAAGAUGAUCUACUCCUGUUCUCCUGUUCUCCUCCUGUUCUCAGGGAUAUUUACUAUAGCUCACUGUCAUCAGCUUCACGACAACAUCACAGCUGUUGAGACGCUGAAGUUGAUCCAGGUAACCACUGGUCCAGCAUUGGGUCCUAUUGACAGACGGACUGCAUCUGAGGGAACAGCUUUCAAAAAAAGUCCAGGCAGCAGAGGACAAGUUGCCUCAGCUUCAAAAAAAGUUGCGGCUCCAAGACGCUAUCGACGGUGUCGCUGCUUCCGGAAGAAAGCAAAAACCAGCUUGUCUCCAGCUCCGACCCGUUCUGCAGCUUUCAACACAUCUGCAUUUAAGGAAACCAUGACCACAAUUUCUGAAGUUGUUCAACUGGCUUUUGAACCUUCAACUACCAAUUUAACAUUACCUUCCUGUAUUCAAACUGAUAAACCUACCAGAAAAACUGCUUCUUCUCCAUCUGCUGCACCUGAAAUUCCAAGUAGCACUACAUUUAGAACAGCAGAUUCUGUGAAACGAACUAUAGGAACACCUAUACAUUCUGUACAUUCUGCACAUUCUGUUGCUACUCCUGUCAGUACUCCUUCACCUGCACCAUCAACUGAGUCUCCUGAUGUCACCCCAUCUGCUACAACAGAAAACCCGACCAGCUCCACACAGGUCAUCCAUACCUCAAAAAGUCCACCAGAGCUUCCAGAACAUACAACAACCAGUGCUGAAAGAGCUUCUGCGACCACUGAAGUUACUGUGACCAAAUUCACCACUUUGAUUGCAGCAGAUGCAUUCUUUGUUAAAGAUGAAAUUCCAACCGCAACUUAUUCCUCUAAUGAUUUAGUUCAUUUCUCUUCAGAAACUCCAACUUCUCCCAUUUCAGAUGCUGAAAGUACCCCACAGGCUUAUACAUCAUUCAGCCAAAUUUUAUCAAAGUUUUAUAACAAAGCAGCUCCUGUUAUUGAUGUGACUGUUCCAGAAACCCCAGUGGAAAUAUCUGCCAAAGCCACCAGCGUCAGUUCUACCAGGGAAUCAAGUACAGCUACCCUAUUCAGUACAUCCAGCGUCACAAUGACUUUAGAACCUAGAAUGACAGAUGACUUCCCAGUGAGUACAGGUGCACCUACUGUUACUGAAACCUCAACCCCAAUAACAGAAAUAUCAAUACCUGAUAUCGAAGUGGCUGCUGAUACUAAAGCUUUUGAGACUGCGGAUUCUGCUGUUAGUUAUUCACCUUCACCUGCUAAUUCAAACACUCCUAUUUCAACUUUUACUUCAACGCAAUCAGCACUUGGAAAGUCCUCAGAUGCUACAAGAAAGUCUGCUACAUUUUUAACUUUAUUAACUGCAAGAGAAACUUCAGCUAGCUCCACACUGACAACCCCAGCUCCUGCUGCUUGGACUUCCAUGCCUUACACUGCACCGCCUGUGACUGUAAAAACCCAAGCAGAAGUUCCACCAGCUGACAGUACAUCCGGAAUGUCUAGAGUAUCCUCUGUCCCAGGAACACCACUUGGCAUUUCGGAUCAUUCUCCUGCAGAACAAUCUAUUCUAUUUCGAUCAAUGAGACUAGAAGAACAGAGUACCACUACAUUUGGACCAAAAAGUACUACUGGUGGAUCUUUUGGUACUACCACGAUUUCUAGUUCUGAAAUGUCCCCGACCCUUACAGAAGUGUCCAAUGUUGGAGAAACUACACUAAAUUCUUCAUACAUCCAUCAUGGUAAACCAACUCCAUUAGACAGAAAGGCCACUAUUUCUGCUGGUACUGACGAAAAAGCCACAACAGAAGGACUGGCUAAUACAAGGGAUGACCACAGUAUUUCCACAAACAUUGAUACAAAAUUAGCUAUGGCAGCCAUGACUUCUCAUUCAGAAGAUACAGUCAACACAACUGAUUCUUCAGAUGACAUUACUGCUCCUUCAGCAGGUCAUGAUAGAGCAGCUCUUCCAGCAAUCAUACAUACAUCUCCCAGUAUAACACCUUCUGUGGCUACUUCUGGUAAUGAAAAAAGACAGACGGUCCAUUCAGGUGAAGCUACUACUGCACUUUCAUCUCCUAAAAUUGCUGGAUCAACUCCCAGUUCAGACAUUUACUCCACUUACACGGCAGUGGCUAUGAAUUUAAAAACCUCAGACGCUACAAAAAAGUCUGCUACAUUUUUAACUUCAUUCACUACAAGAGAACUUUCCGCUAGCUCCACACUGACAACCUUAGCUCCUGCUGCUUGGACUUCCACCAUCUACACUGCACCGCCUGUGGCUGUAAAAACCCAAGCAGAAGUUCCACCAGCUGACAGCACAUCCAGAAUGUCUAGAGUAUCCUCUGUCCCAGGAACACCACUUGGCAUUUCGGAUCAUUCUACAGCUUCCACUGCAGAACAAUCUAUUCUAUUUCGAUCAAUGAGACUAGAAGAACAGAGUACCACUACAUUUGGACCAAAAAGUACUACUGGUGGAUCUUUUGGUACUACCACGAUUUCUAGUUCUGAAAUGUCCCCGACCCUUACAGAAGUGUCCAAUGUUGGAGAAACUACACUAAAUUCUUCAUACAUCCAUCAUGGUAAACCAACUCCAUUAGACAGAAAGGCCACUAUUUCUGCUGGUACUGACGAAAAAGCCACAACAGAAGGACUGGCUAAUACAAGGGAUGACCACAGUAUUUCCACAAACAUUGAUACUAAAUUAGCUAUGGCAGCCAUGACUUCUCAUUCAGAAGAUACAGUCAACACAACUGAUUCUUCAGAUGACAUUACUGCUCCUUCAGCAGGUCAUGAUAGAGCAGCUCUUCCAGCAAUCAUACAUACAUCUCCCAGUAUAACACCUUCUGUGGCUACUUCUGGUAAUGAAAAAAGACAGACGGUCCAUUCAGGUGAAGCUACUACUGCACUUUCGUCUCCUAAAAUUGCUGGAUCAACUCCCAGUUCAGACAUUUACUUCACUUACACAGCAGUGGCUAUGAAUUUAAAAACCUCAGACUCUACAAAAAAGUCUGCUACAUUUUUAACUUUAUUAACUGCAAGAGAACCUUCAGCUAGCUCCACACUGACAACCCCAGCUCCUGCUGCUUGGACUUCCAUGCCUUACACUGCACCGCCUGCGGAUGUAAAAACCCAAGAAGAAGUUCCACCAGCUGACAGUACAUCCAGAAUGUCUAGAGUAUCCUCUGUACCAGGAACACCACUUAGCAUUUUGGAUCAUUCUACAGCUUCUACUGCAGAACAAUCUACUCUAUUUCUAUCAAUGACACUAGAAGAACAGAGUACCACUACAUUUGGACCAAAAAGUACUACUGGUGGAUCUUUUGGUACUACUACAUUUUCUAGUUCUGAAAUGUCCCCAACCCUUAGCGAAGUGUCCACUGUUGGAGAAACUACACUCAAUUCUUCAUACAUCCAUCAUGGAAAACCAACUCCAUUAGACAGAAAGGCCACUAUUUCUGCUGGUACUGAUGAAAAAUCCACAACAGAAGGACUGGCUAAUACAAGGGAUGACCACAGUAUUUCCACAAACAUUGAUACUAAAUUAGCUAUGGCAGCCAUGACUUCUCAUUCAGAAGAUACAGUCAACGCAACUGAUUCUUCAGCUGACAUUACUGCUCCUUCAGCAGGUCAUGAUAGAGCAGCUCUUCCAGCAAUCAUACAUACAUCUCCCAGUAUAACACCUUCUGUGGCUACUUCUGGUAAUGAAAAAAGACAGACGGUCCAUUCAGGUGAAGCUACUACUGCACUUUCGUCUCCUAGAAUUGCUGGAUCAACUCCCAGUUCAGACAUUUACUCCACUUACACGGCAGUGGCUAUGAAUUUAAACCAUGUAAUAGAACAUCCUGCUGCUGACAGUACGUCUGUAUUAUCUACAACAAUUUCUACAUACUCUCCAAGCAUUAGGAAGGAUUUCCCAGCCUCUGGUCCAGCGCCAGGAGAAGUUCCAGUCACUACUGGCAACGUUGGUUCUUCUACGACAACAGCAGUUCCAAACUCAAUUGACAUUCCAAUUCAUGUGAAAAUGGUCACUACUGCUCUCACUCCUUCUCUAAACAUGGCAACAACAGAACCAAAAAGUACACAUGUUUGGUUGGUUCCAGUGGAAUCAACUAAAAUGCUUACAACUGGAACAGAACUAGUUUCUUCUAGCACUACAGAAGCUUUUAGCAUUCUAUCUGCUGGAAAAAUGACAGUACCACCUACUAUGACAAUUAAUACAACCUCUUUGGCUGCUAUGGGAGUUGGAACAGGAACCGAAUCCCCAACCGCUACAACAAGUACACCUUCUAUUAAAAGAGGUGUUUCUACUACAGCUACUACAGUAUCUGCCGCUGUAACAACUACUACAUCAACUACAUCUUCAGCUAUACCCUCUGAAAUUUCUUCAACAACACUCUCUGCUGCAACUACUACAACCACCACCACCACAACAACAACAACAGCACAGGCAGCCAGAGUAGUGUCACAUCGUCCAGAUCCAACCGCCACUAUCCAGUUUGUCAUAAGCAUACCGUAUGUACCGGAACUGAAUGACUCUGAGAGUGAUGAAUUUAAGACACAGGCCAAAGUGAUUACUGAUGCGUUGGAUUCCAUCUACAGCAAAAAAUAUGGAGACUUAUUUGUCAAAUCUGUGGUGACAGGCUUCAGUCGCCAGUCACGCAGUCGAGCUGACUAUGUAGAAGCAGAAGUGGAACUGAUCUUCAAUCAGAAGUCAGUAGAACCAAUCCCUGCCAACAGUGAGAUUACAAACACCCUGGUUGAUGCCGUUCAGGAGACCGUCAAUGACACCUUCCUGCAAAUGGUGAACAUCCAAACGAUUAUCUUGUCAAAAGGCCCCCAAAGCACACCAAAUGCACGGUUCUCCACCAACGAGAUAUUUGUUCCAGACCUGGCAGAUCCAAAAUCUCUCGCUUUUCAAGAAAGAGCGUCACACGUCAAAGCCGAGCUUGAGCCCUUUUUCUUUGACGACUUCAAGCCGGAUUUCAUCUUGUUGACAGUAAUGAAUUUCAGCCAAGGAUCAAUCGUUCAUACCUACAAUCUAAUCUUCACCAGCAAUGCCACUUUACCCACAAGUACAGCUAUUGCAAGCACAUUGCUCAAGGCGGCACGCAGUGGCACAUUGUCCUUUAACAUUACCACGAUAGAUGGAAAAGAUAUUUUCUCCAACAUAAGCAAUACAAUUGUUCUAAACAGUGAAAUACCGCUGUACGGCAGCAACCUAAGCAGUGUCCCCACUCUGCGUUCUACCGGCAGUCUCAUUGGAUUGUCUCUGCUAUUGACGCUGAAGCCACUGCUCCUAUGAAAAAUCUAUUCCACCUCUGGAAAGUUUCUUUUCUCCAUGUUCAAAUCCACUCAACCACAUGGACCCAAAGAUAGCUUUGCGUGUAGACCAUACAAUGCCCCAUAUAAAGGAUGGGGGGGUUGCAAGAAUGUGAUGAAUAUACUGUCAUUUUUGAGCAUUUUUAUAUUAAAAAAAAUUUCAUUUAUUCAUGUUUUUGUUCCUUAAAUAGAGCCUUAUUCUCUGAUUGUUUUGACAGUACAUUUUUCUUGAAAUGAAAUAUAUGGCCAGUGGUGGAGUUCAAGUAGAGUUACACAAUGUAAAAUAUAACUCCAGUUCUCCCUUUUAAAAGCUAGAAAAAGUACUUCAAAUGUUCAAUAAAAAAUAGGUGGGCCCACUAUUUUCA